CAGCAGCCGCGGUAAUACGUAGGUGGCAAGCGUUGUCCGGAAUUAUUGGGCGUAAAGGGCUCGCAGGCGGUUUCUUAGGUCUGAUGUGAAAGCCCCCGGCUCAACCGGGGAGGGUCAUUGGAAACUGGGAAACUUGAGUGCAGAAGAGGAGAGUGGAAUUCCACGUGUAGCGGUGAAAUGCGUAGAGAUGUGGAGGAACACCAGUGGCGAAGGCGACUCUCUGGUCUGUAACUGACGCUGAGGAGCGAAAGCGUGGGGAGCGAACAGGAUUAGAUACCCCUGUAGUCCCUGUCUCUUAUAC
rnacentral:rRNA from 1 species